rnacentral:rRNA from 1 species
UCGCUCCUACCGAUCGAGUGAUCCGGUGAACCUUUUGGACUGCUUCGGUUCCGAGGCGAGAAAUCAAGUAAACCUUAUCACUUAGAGGAAGGAG